rnacentral:rRNA from 1 species
GCGGCAACAGCUCAAAUUUGAAAUCUGGCCCUCGGGUCCGAGUUGUAAUUUGUAGAGGAUGCUUUUGGUGCGGUGCCUUCCGAGUUCCCUGGAACGGGACGCCAUAGAGGGUGAGAGCCCCGUCUGGUUGGACACCAAGCCUCUGUAAAGCUCCUUCGACGAGUCGAGUAGUUUGGGAAUGCUGCUCUAAAUGGGAGGUAUAUGUCUUCUAAAGCUAAAUACCGGCCAGAGACCGAUAGCGCACAAGUAGAGUGAUCGAAAGAUGAAAAGCACUUUGAAAAGAGGGUUAAAUAGUACGUGAAAUUGUUGAAAGGGAAGCGCUUGUGACCAGACUUGAGCCCGGUUAAUCAUCCAGCCUUCUGGCUGGUGCACUUGGCCGGCUCAGGCCAGCAUCAGUUCGGCGUGGGGGAUAAAGACUUCGGGAAUGUGGCUCCUUCGGGAGUGUUAUAGCCCGUUGUGUAAUACCCUGUACUGGACUGAGGUUCGCGCAUCUGCAAGGAUGCUGGCGUAAUGGUCAUCAGCGACCCGUCUUGAAACACGGACCAAGGAGUCGUCCUCGUAUGCGAGUGUUCGGGUGUCAAACCCCUACGCGUAAUGAAAGUGAACGCAGGUGAGAGCUUCGGCGCAUCAUCGACCGAUCCUGAUGUUCUCGGACGGAUUUGAGUAAGAGCAUACGGGGCCGGACCCGAAAGAAGGUGAACUAUGCCUGUAUAGGGUGAAGCCAGAGGAAACUCUGGUGGAGGCUCGCAGCGGUUCUGACGUGCAAAUCGAUCGUCAAAUAUGGGCAU